rnacentral:misc_RNA from 1 species
UUGAUAAAGCUGACAGGAAGCGACUUUUUGAUAUGAUAAAUGAUGUUCCGACAAUAUAUGAAGUUGUGACUGGUGGUGAAAAGAAACAAGUGAAGGAGAAGUCAUCUGUCACCAAUCACAGUAGCAACAAAUCCAAGUCAAACUCCAAAGUGCGAGAAUCUCAGGGAAAGUUUUCAGAAGCAUCACAGCCAAAGGAUGAAGAUGAGGUCUUGGAUGAGGAAGAUACUGACGAGCAUGGGGAGACAUUAUGUGGUG